GUUGUAAUAAAACUGCAACAAUGUAGCAGCUUCAAGUCGGGAAACAAUGUAGCAGGACUAACCGAACAUUCAGCAGCAUUGUUGUAACCACGACCACUAUAGUUCCGAAAACACUGAUAAAACGGCAUUGGCAAACUGAUAUGGUUAAAAACAUGGCAUGGUGAAAAUGGUAGUUGCACAAACAUAUCAAUUUAUUAAUGUUGUGCUUUGGAAUAUUCUGUAGCUUGAAGAGGUUAGGCUAAAUGCAUAGGCUACACUCUGCACAGACAUAGGCCUCCUGCUUCGACUUUAGCGAAGCAUACAGUAAAUCUCGGGCUAGGCUGGAUACUUGUUGUUUUCAUUUCUCCCUUUUCACCGGCCGGCCGGCAAACUGGAGCGACACACCCCCACAAUCUGCACAGAAAAAAAGUGAGUGACACAUUCCAAACUACCCAUUGGCUUCUGGUUUGCGAUGGCAGCGGACCAAUAGCAGUGAAUUGAAGGCGGUGCCUUGUGAAUCUCGCCUGGCUGCACGCGCAGGGGAGUGGGGGCGUGGCAUUUUUUUGAGGAAAAAAAGCUAAACAAUCUUUAAUAUUUCAAAUUGACUGUGUCGGCUUUUUAAGUUGUCUCGGCUGGUGGAGAAGUCCAUACCUUAGAAUAGUGGUAACACACGGGGAUCCACUCAAGACAGGCCUGAAUGUAUUUUCUUCCAAAUUUCUGGACGAAAAGGUAUAGAAAGCGGGUAAUCUUUCUUUAGUCACCACUCCGGUCCGACGAUGAAUUCUAAACGUUUGCUUGACAUGUCUCCGGCUGAAACACUGGUCGGGGGCGCUUCGAAACAAGCCGGUAUUGACCAGCAUGCAGAGGGUUCCAAGGGAAGCGAAAUGAGUGUCACCACUACUGACAGUGGUGUCAUUCUGGCGUGCGGGAGCGGGCCCGCAUCAGGAGCAGUUUUCUGCACAUUCGUGCUAGACGAUGGCACUUUGAGAGAAUGUACAAACCAGGACAUCAUCCUCAAUGGGAAUGACCUGUCGUCAGGGAAAGAAAAAUACGCGCACCGGAAAAUAAUGGGUUGUGGUGGCGAGGCAGAUGAGAGGAACAGUGGUCUGACUGGGGUCCUUACUAACGGCAGUCCCACUCACUGCCUGAUCCUGAACGGGCAGAAGCCGGACAGACACAUGCACUCGAAAGUGAGGAAUCCGCUGGUGCCCGAUGGUUUCCAGGAAACCGGACAUCAAGUGCCACCUGAGGAGAGAAAUCCCCACCCCUCCUCCACAUACCUGUCCCCCGACGCAGGUAGGGACCACAUGGCUAAUAACAUAAUAGUGUUGUCACAAUACCAGCAUUUUUCAUUCGAUACCGAUACCAGGUUUAGUAUCACAAUACUCGAUACCAUCACGAUACUUAUUACCAAAACGAUACCAAAAUGA
rnacentral:lncRNA from 1 species